rnacentral:lncRNA from 1 species
CUCGGGCUAGUCCUAAAGCGAACAACCUGCGCGCAGGACGGCUGGUAACCAUUCUGUGUAGGGACGAUAUUAGCUAGCUAACUUGCUAGCUAGCUAGUUCCUGCAUUUGCUGCGCCAAACGUUGUUUAAACGCAGUCCAUCUAGCUACUAGCGGUUGAUUAGUGAGAGAACAACUUAAAGGCCAUGUUGCAAAUAAAUAAAUUAGCCAAUAAUAUAAAUAGAACAUACACCCCUUGCAAAUUGCUGCUAGAUAAAAAAAAAGUGAAGCACUUGCUCUACUCAGGUGAAGACGAGCUGACUGGGGACAUCUGGUGAAGACAAACAAGUAGCUAGCUAUUUCUCCAUAGCCUGAAGUACUGGAAUAAAACAAAAAUGAUCUGCUUCAAAGUAAUUGUCUCUUUUAUAUGCAUACAUGAUUUUUGUUGGUAAAAGGUAUGAACUUGGCAUUGCUAGCUGACUUAUCCAUCCUACUUUACUAGCUAACAACUGACAAGUUGUAUCAGGCAGAUGUAUGGGGAAAACGAAUAGCUAUAUUUGCAGUGGUGGAAAAAGUACCCAAUUGUCAUACUUGAGUAAAAGUAAAGGUACCUUAAUAGAAAAUUACUAAAGUAAAAGUCACCCAGUAAAAUUCUACUUGAGUAAAAGUUUUUGGUUUUAAAUAUACUUAAUUUUAAGUAUCUAAAGUAAAUGUGGCGCAGCGGUCUAACAUGCUUACCUGACCGCACAUCAUCGUGCGCAUGUUGAUUUGUGUCCCCCCACAUAAGACACGAUCAGGACACACAGGUUGAAAUAUCAAAACAAACUCUGAACCAACUAUAUUCAUUUGGGGACAGGUCGAAAUGCAUUAAACUUUUAUGGCAAUUUUAAAUAGCUAGCUUGCUGUUGGCAAUUUUGUCCUGGGAUAUAAACAUUAGAUUGUUGUUUUACCUGAAAUGCACAAGGUCCUUUACUCCGACAAUUAAUCAACCGGUAUAAGUUUGUUUUCUAGUAAUCUCUCCUCCUUUAGGCUUCUUCUUCUUUGGACUUUAUUUGGGGGUUGGCAACCAACUUAAGGUGCAUUACCACUACUGACUGGAGCGUAGACCACAGUUCAUCUUUCAAUCACCCACGUGGGUAUAUGCUCCUAAAAACCAAUGAGGAGAUUGCAUGUGGUUAAAUGCUGCUAAAAACAUGCACGCUGACACGGUCACCAGGUGUACGGUGUUUCCGCCGACACAUAGGUGUGGCUGGCUUCUGGGUUAAGCGAGCAUUGUUUCAAAGAAGCAGUGCGGCUUGGUAGGGUUGUGUUUCUGGGAACGCACGGUUCUCGACC